ACUAACAAGAAGGUGAAUUGAAGAUUCAGACAAGGCUAACUUUAAAGCCCCACCCACCACAGUCUGUGCUGCACUGAGUCUAUGAAAGGUUUUCUGCUGGGAUUUCUGGCCUCAAGAGGAAGCUAGUGUCCAUUUUGUUUUAACAAUGGCCACUAGCCAAACUUGUUCAAGCUUAGAUAUUGGAGAAUUGGGUUUUGUUCUUG